rnacentral:rRNA from 1 species
AUUGAACGCUGGCGGCAUGCUUUACACAUGCAAGUCGAACGGCAGCGCGGGCUUCGGCCUGGCGGCGAGUGGCGAACGGGUGAGUAAUACAUCGGAACGUGCCCAGGAGUGGGGGAUAGCUCGGCGAAAGCCGGAUUAAUACCGCAUACGACCUGAGGGUGAAAGCGGGGGAUCUUCGGACCUCGCGCUAUUGGAGCGGCCGAUGGCAGAUUAGCUAGUUGGUGGGGUAAAGGCCUACCAAGGCGACGAUCUGUAGCUGGUCUGAGAGGACGACCAGCCACACUGGGACUGAGACACGGCACAGACUCCUACGGGAGGCAGCAGUGGGGAAUUUUGGACAAUGGGCGAAAGCCUGAUCCAGCAAUGCCGCGUGUGUGAUGAAGGCCUUCGGGUUGUAAAGCACUUUUGGCGGGAACGAAAAGGACUGUGCCAAUACCACGGUUCGAUGACGGUACCCGCAGAAUAAGCACCGGCUAACUCCGUG